rnacentral:rRNA from 1 species
CCUACGGGAGGCAGCAGUGAGGAAUAUUGGUCAAUGGACGAGAGUCUGAACCAGCCAAGUAGCGUGAAGGAUGACUGCCCUAUGGGUUGUAAACUUCUUUUAUAUGGGAAUAAAAUGUUCCACGUGUGGGAUUUUGUAUGUACCAUAUGAAUACGGAUCGGCUAACUCCGUGCCAGCAGCCGCGGUAAUACGGAGGAUCCGAGCGUUAUCCGGAUUUAUUGGGUUUAAAGGGAGCGUAGGUGGAUUGUUAAGUCAGUUGUGAAAGUUUGCGGCUCAACCGUAAAAUUGCAGUUGAAGCUGGCAGUCUUGAGUACAGUAGAGGUGGGCGGAAUUCGUGGUGUAGCGGUGAAAUGCUUAGAUAUCACGAAGAACUCCGAUUGCGAAGGCAGUUCACUGGACUGCAACUGACACUGAGGCUCGAAAGUGUGGGUAUCAAACAGGAUUAGAUACCCUUGUAGUC